AAAGUUGCUACUGUUUAAAAGCUUGUAGUUGGAUCCAGGGAGUGGGUAGGCGGUCAGAGUAACCCUUGCUUCUUGGUGUCUCCUUGAUGCUCUUAGCUGAAUGUCCUGUGUAGCCCACAACAUUUACUUUGGGAAAAAAUUAAGAGUGUUUAAAGCAGGAUCAAGCUGCUGCAUACCACAGCUAAAACUACUAGAAUAAGACCCCUGGUUCUGUUUCAUUGUUUUUUGGAGCUAAAGUCAUGAUUAAGAAGGAUGGCCUGGGAUAUUGGUACUGUGCUGCUAGAGGUGCAAUUCCUGGUUCUUUGCAAGAUAGACCAGAGUGAAAGCAUUUGUUAGGAAUGUUUUUAUUAAUCAAGAGUGAAAGGCAAGGCCAGGCGUGGUGACUCAG
rnacentral:ncRNA from 2 species